rnacentral:rRNA from 1 species
AACGUAGGACGCAAGCGUUAUCCGGAGUUACUGGGCGUAAAGCGCGGGCAGGCGGUUGGUCAAGUCUGAUGUGAAAUCUCUCCGCUCAACGGGGAGCAGCCAGUUGGAAACUGGGACAGCAUGGAGUCUGGCAGAGGUAGGCGGAAUUCCGGGUGGAGUGGUGAAAUGCGUAGAGAUCCGGAGGAACACCAGAGGCGAAGGCGGCCCUACUGGGCCAGGUACUGACGCUGAGCCGCGAAAGCCAGGGGAGCGAAACGGGG